CCCCUGGGUGCGGUAUAUGAGAGAGAGUGAGAGCGGCAGCACGGGUACUUGUACCUGGUGGCGAGCGGCGGACGGGUGAGUAAUGCCUAGGAAUCUGCCUGGUAGUGGGGGAUAACGCUCGGAAACGGACGCUAAUACCGCAUACGUCCUACGGGAGAAAGCAGGGGACCUUCGGGCCUUGCGCUAUCAGAUGAGCCUAGGUCGGAUUAGCUAGUUGGUGAGGUAAUGGCUCACCAAGGCGACGAUCCGUAACUGGUCUGAGAGGAUGAUCAGUCACACUGGAACUGAGACACGGUCCAGACUCCUACGGGAGGCAGCAGUGGGGAAUAUUGGACAAUGGGCGAAAGCCUGAUCCAGCCAUGCCGCGUGUGUGAAGAAGGUCUUCGGAUUGUAAAGCACUUUAAGUUGGGGAGGAAGGGCAGUUACCUAAUACGUGAGUGUUUUGACGUUACCGACAGAAUAAGCACCGGCUAACUCUGUGCCAGCAGCCGCGGUAAUACAGAGGGUGCAAGCGUUAAUCGGGAUUACUGGUCGUAAAGCGCCCGUAGGUGGUUU
rnacentral:rRNA from 1 species